AAUCAACGCUGGCGGCGUGCCUCAGACAUGCAAGUCGAACGAUUAAGACUUCCUUCGGGAAGUGCAUAAAGUGGCGCACGGGUGAGUAACACGUAAGUAAUCUACCCUCGAGUGGGGAAUAACGUUCGGAAACGAACGCUAAUACCGCAUAAUGCAGCGGCAUCGCAAGAUGACAGUUGUUAAAGGAGUAAUUCGCUUGAGGAGGAGCUUGCGGCAGAUUAGCUAGUUGGUAAGGUAACGGCUUACCAAGGCUACGAUCUGUAUCCGGUCUAAGAGGACGGUCGGACACACUGACACUGAAUAACGGGUCAGACUCCUACGGGAGGCAGCAGUCGGGGAUUUUGGGCAAUGGGCGAAAGCCUGACCCAGCAACGCCGCGUGAAGGAUGAAGUAUUUCGGUAUGUAAACUUCGAAAGAAUGGGAAGAAUAAAUGACGGUACCAUUUAUAAGCUCCGGCUAACUACGUGCCAGCAGCCGCCGUAA
rnacentral:rRNA from 1 species